AAUCAACGCUGGCGGCGUGCCUAACACAUGCAAGUCGCGCGCGAAAGGGGGGCAACCCCGACGUAAAGCGGCGAACGGGUGAGUAACACGUGGGUAAUCUACCUUCGAGUGGGGAACGAACAUCGGGAAACUGGUGCUAAUUCCGCAUGACAUCGUCGGGGCUUCGGUUCCGACGCUCAAAGCUGGGGAUCGUAAGACCUAGCGCUUGAAGAUGAGCCCGCGUCCGAUUAGCUAGUUGGCGGGGAAUAGCCCACCAAGGCUCCGAUCGGUAGCCGGCCUGAGAGGGCGGACGGCCACACUGGAACUGAGACACGGUCCAGACUCCUACGGGA
rnacentral:rRNA from 1 species